GGGUUCACGGGUUGGCACGGGCCCUGCAGAGUAGAAAUCGACAAUCAACAAAAAGCGCCCGCCUCAACGAAGAGACGGCACUUUCCCGAUUGAACGGGACUUGGACAAAGGCGUCCUGCUGGAAACAGCGGGACGCC
rnacentral:sRNA from 1 species